rnacentral:rRNA from 1 species
GGUCAAGUGAAGAAGCGCAUACGGUGGAUGCCUUGGCAGUCAGAGGCGAUGAAAGACGUGGUAGCCUGCGAAAAGCUUCGGGGAGUCGGCAAACAGACUUUGAUCCGGAGAUGUCUGAAUGGGGGAACCCAGCCAUCAUAAGAUGGUUAUCUUGUACUGAAUACAUAGGUGCAAGAGGCGAACCAGGGGAACUGAAACAUCUAAGUACCCUGAGGAAAAGAAAUCAACCGAGAUUCCCUUAGUAGUGGCGAGCGAACGGGGACUAGCCCUUAAGUGGCUUUGAGAUUAGCGGAACGCUCUGGAAAGUGCGGCCAUAGUGGGUGAUAGCCCUGUACGCGAAAGUCUCUUAGUCAUGAAAUCGAGUAGGACGGAGCACGAGAAACUUUGUCUGAAUAUGGGGGGACCAUCCUCCAAGGCUAAAUACUACUGACUGACCGAUAGUGAACUAGUACCGUGAGGGAAAGGCGAAAAGAACCCCGGAGAGGGGAGUGAAAUAGAUCCUGAAACCGUAUGCGUACAAGCAGUGGGAGCCCACUUUGUUGGGUGACUGCGUACCUUUUGUAUAAUGGGUCAGCGACUUAUUUUCAGUGGCGAGCUUAACCGAAUAGGGGAGGCGUAGCGAAAGCGAGUCUUAAUAGGGCGUCUAGUCGCUGGGAAUAGACCCGAAACCGGGCGAUCUAUCCAUGGGCAGGUUGAAGGUUAGGUAACACUGACUGGAGGACCGAACCGACUACCGUUGAAAAGUUAGCGGAUGACCUGUGGAUCGGAGUGAAAGGCUAAUCAAGCUCGGAGAUAGCUGGUUCUCCUCGAAAGCUAUUUAGGUAGCGCCUCAUGUAUCACUGUAGGGGGUAGAGCACUGUUUCGGCUAGGGGGUCAUCCCGACUUACCAAACCGAUGCAAACUCCGAAUACCUACAAGUGCCGAGCAUGGGAGACACACGGCGGGUGCUAACGUCCGUCGUGAAAAGGGAAACAACCCAGACCGUCAGCUAAGGUCCCAAAGUUAUGGUUAAGUGGGAAACGAUGUGGGAAGGCUUAGACAGCUAGGAGGUUGGCUUAGAAGCAGCCACCCUUUAAAGAAAGCGUAAUAGCUCACUAGUCGAGUCGGCCUGCGCGGAAGAUGUAACGGGGCUCAAACCAUACACCGAAGCUACGGGUAUCACGUAAGUGAUGCGGUAGAGGAGCGUUCUGUAAGCCUGUGAAGGUGAGUUGAGAAGCUUGCUGGAGGUAUCAGAAGUGCGAAUGCUGACAUGAGUAACGACAAUGGGUGUGAAAAACACCCACGCCGAAAGACCAAGGUUUCCUGCGCAACGUUAAUCGACGCAGGGUUAGUCGGUCCCUAAGGCGAGGCUGAAAAGCGUAGUCGAUGGAAAACAGGUUAAUAUUCCUGUACUUCUGGUUAUUGCGAUGGAGGGACGGAGAAGGCUAGGCCAGCUUGGCGUUGGUUGUCCAAGUUUAAGGUGGUAGGCUGAGAUCUUAGGUAAAUCCGGGAUCUUAAGGCCGAGAGCUGAUGACGAGUUACCUUUCAGGUGACGAAGUGGUUGAUGCCAUGCUUCCAAGAAAAGCUUCUAAGCUUCAGAUAACCAGGAACCGUACCCCAAACCGACACAGGUGGUUGGGUAGAGAAUACCAAGGCGCUUGAGAGAACUCGGGUGAAGGAACUAGGCAAAAUGGCACCGUAACUUCGGGAGAAGGUGCGCCGGUGAGGGUGAAGGACUUGCUCCGUAAGCUCAUGCCGGUCGAAGAUACCAGGCCGCUGCGACUGUUUAUUAAAAACACAGCACUCUGCAAACACGAAAGUGGACGUAUAGGGUGUGACGCCUGCCCGGUGCCGGAAGGUUAAUUGAUGGGGUUAGCUAACGCGAAGCUCUUGAUCGAAGCCCCGGUAAACGGCGGCCGUAACUAUAACGGUCCUAAGGUAGCGAAAUUCCUUGUCGGGUAAGUUCCGACCUGCACGAAUGGCGUAACGAUGGCGGCGCUGUCUCCACCCGAGACUCAGUGAAAUUGAAAUCGCUGUGAAGAUGCAGUGUAUCCGCGGCUAGACGGAAAGACCCCGUGAACCUUUACUAUAGCUUUGCACUGGACUUUGAAUUUGCUUGUGUAGGAUAGGUGGGAGGCUUUGAAGCGUGGACGCCAGUUCGCGUGGAGCCAUCCUUGAAAUACCACCCUGGCAACUUUGAGGUUCUAACUCAGGUCCGUUAUCCGGAUCGAGGACAGUGUAUGGUGGGUAGUUUGACUGGGGCGGUCUCCUCCUAAAGAGUAACGGAGGAGUACGAAGGUGCGCUCAGACCGGUCGGAAAUCGGUCGUAGAGUAUAAAGGCAAAAGCGCGCUUGACUGCGAGACAGACACGUCGAGCAGGUACGAAAGUAGGUCUUAGUGAUCCGGUGGUUCUGUAUGGAAGGGCCAUCGCUCAACGGAUAAAAGGUACUCCGGGGAUAACAGGCUGAUACCGCCCAAGAGUUCAUAUCGACGGCGGUGUUUGGCACCUCGAUGUCGGCUCAUCACAUCCUGGGGCUGAAGCCGGUCCCAAGGGUAUGGCUGUUCGCCAUUUAAAGUGGUACGCGAGCUGGGUUUAGAACGUCGUGAGACAGUUCGGUCCCUAUCUGCCGUGGACGUUUGAGAUUUGAGAGGGGCUGCUCCUAGUACGAGAGGACCGGAGUGGACGAACCUCUGGUGUUCCGGUUGUCACGCCAGUGGCAUUGCCGGGUAGCUAUGUUCGGGAAAGAUAACCGCUGAAAGCAUCUAAGCGGGAAACUUGCCUCAAGAUGAGAUCUCACUGGAACCUUGAGUUCCCUGAAGGGCCGUCGAAGACUACGACGUUGAUAGGUUGGGUGUGUAAGCGCUGUGAGGCGUUGAGCUAACCAAUACUAAUUGCCCGUGAGGCUUGACCAU